CGGCGUGCUUAACACAUGCAAGUCGAACGGUGAAGCCCUUUCGGGGUGGAUCAGUGGCGAACGGGUGAGUAACACGUGAGCAACCUGCCCCUGACUCUGGGAUAACUACCGGAAACGGUGGCUAAUACCGGAUAUUACCUGUGCGGGCAUCCGUGUGGGUGGAAAGUUUUUCGGUCAGGGAUGGGCUCGCGGCCUAUCAGCUUGUUGGUGGGGUGAUGGCCUACCAAGGCGACGACGGGUAGCCGGCCUGAGAGGGCGACCGGCCACACUGGGACUGAGACACGGCCCAGACUCCUACGGGAGGCAGCAGUGGGGAAUAUUGCGCAAUGGGCGAAAGCCUGACGCAGCGACGCCGCGUGGGGGAUGAAGGCCUUCGGGUUGUAAACCUCUUUCAGCAGGGAAGAAGCGCAAGUGACGGUACCUGCAGAAGAAGCACCGGCUAACUACGUGCCAGCAGCCGCGGUAAUACGUAGGGUGCAAGCGUUGUCCGGAAUUAUUGGGCGUAAAGAGCUCGUAGGCGGUCUGUCGCGUCUGGUGUGAAAACUCGGGGCUUAACUCCGGGCCUGCAUCGGGUACGGGCAGACUAGAGUGCGGUAGGGGAGACUGGAAUUCCUGGUGUAGCGGUGAAAUGCGCAGAUAUCAGGAGGAACACCGGUGGCGAAGGCGGGUCUCUGGGCCGUAACUGACGCUGAGGAGCGAAAGCGUGGGGAGCGAACAGGAUUAGAUACCCUGGUAGUCCACGCCGUAAACGUUGGGCGCUAGGUGUGGGGCUCUUUCCACGAGUUCCGUGCCGCAGCAAACGCAUUAAGCGCCCCGCC
rnacentral:rRNA from 1 species